rnacentral:misc_RNA from 1 species
AUGAUUGCGAAUGGUCACCUUCAGUGCUGGCUCGCAAGAGCAAGUGCACGUUGGUGGCUUUCAUCCAAUUCCACACCCUGUGAACCUUUGGCCUCUUGCUAGCUUCGGCUGGCAGAGGAAUUUACACACACUCGAAUGUAAUGAAAUAUAUUGUCGUGCGCAAGCACUAAUGUA